rnacentral:rRNA from 1 species
UAUGGGAAAACCCACUGAACUGAAGCAUCUCAAUAAGAGGAGGAAAAUAAACUAACUAGGAUACUCUUAGUAAGUGCGACCGAAGAGAGUAAAGCUCAAUAAUCUAAACUUUAAAUUUUUAUAAUUUAAAGUCAUGUGAUUUUCUAAACUCAUUGAAAUUUUUAUAAAUUAUGAUUGAAUUCAUAACUAUAAAGAGUUAUAGUCUCGUUAUUUAAAAUUUCAAGCAUGGGAAUUAGAAUUAAAGAGUCGGGUAGCUUGAGAAUGCUGCCUUAAUAUAGGUGGUACACCCCAUCUAAAGCUAAAUAUUGUAAAGAGACCGAUAGCAUACAAGUAGUGUGAACGAAAGAUGAAAAGAACUCCUAAACGGAGAAUUAAAAGCGCCUGAACUUGUCUAGGUUUUCGCAUUUCUUUAAUGCGCCCGUCUUGAAACACGGAUUAGGGAGUUUUACUUAAAUACGAGUCUUUAACUUUUAAAGUAAUUUUUUUAAAAAAGGCGAAAAGAAAUUAACUGGUUUUUUUAACAUGGCUAUAGAGUAUUUAAGUCAAAACCCGAAUGGAGGUGAACUAUUCCUGCAAAGAUUGAAGUCAGGGGAAACUCUGAUGGAAGAUCGUUGGCGUUAUUGAUGUGCAAAUCAUUUGCUUUAUGUAGGUAUAGGUGCGAAAGACUCAUCGAACCUCCUAAUAGCUGGUUUCCUCCGAAGUUUCCCUCAGGAUAGCUGUAACAUUUUUAAAUAGUUAAGGAUAGUAGAGAAAUGGGUAGAGGUGUAGUGGAACUACGGUUCUGCAACUUAUUUCCAAACUUCGAACGUUCUUGAUAUAAAAAAUUACCUAAUAGGAAUUUUUUAUUUAAAUAUAUGUUAUAAGUGGGCUCUGACCGGUAAGCGGUCAUGGCGAAAAGGGAUGAACCUAACGUAUAAAUAAGGUGCCUAAAUUUACUAACAAUGAAACCAUUAAAAGAGUCCAUGUAUUUAGACAGCGGGUCGGUGCCCCUAAAAGCAGGUAUCCGUUAAUGAGUGUGUUAAAACUCCCCCGCCGAAUACUCUGGCCUUGAAAAUGAAUGGCGCAUAUAGUAAUACCGAUAUUAUACAUUAAAAUUAUUUAAAAAUUUUAAAAGUAGGGGGAUGUGGAUAUCUUAGAGAAUUUUUAAUUGUAAAAUUGAAUUGAAAGAUAUCUAUUACAGAUCCUAAUUGAAGUAGCGAUUAUCCAGGUUAAUCUCCUGGGGGCUGAUGAGGAGUAGGGUUUCUGGGCAACUUAAACGGACCCAGAGUUAGUCGAUCCUAAUCAAAUUAAAUUUAGAGAAAGGGAAUAUGAAUGAUAUUUCAUAACUAAAAUUAAUUUUUAAAUGGUGACAUUUUUUUAAACUUAUUUCCAUCAAUUAAAUACUGUUUAAUAGGGAUUUCUUUCCUAUAUAACUUUUUAAUUAAAACUUAAGAAACAGGUUAACUGGAGAAUAAAGUUUUAAUUUAGUAAAAUUAUAAUUUCGAUUAUAAUAACGGCUAUUUAAAUGAUCCAUGAAACAAUAAGUUUAUUUUUUCAAAAAUUAAUUUAAUCGUACCGAUAACCGCAUCAGGUCUCCAAGGUGAGUAGCUUCUGGCCAUUGAGUAAUGGUAAUUUAGGGAAUUCGGCCAAUUAGAGCUGUAACUUCGGGAUAAAGCUUGGCUCUGAUGGAAAUCAGAACCGAUAGUUACAAGGAGAGCCCAACUGUUUAAUAAAAACUUAGUGUCGCGUCAUACCUUUAUAAGUAAUAAACGUGACAUGAAUCCUGCUCAGUGCUGUGUUUGUUAAACUGGAUUAAUCCAUUUAAGCGCCGGUAAAUAGCUGGGGUAACUAUGACUCUUAUCAAAGUAGCGAAAUACCUCGUCACUUAAUUAGUGACCUGCAUGAACGGAGCUAUGAGGUUCUCACUGUCCCAAAUUAUCACUCAGCGAACCAACAGUUGUGGGAACGGGCACAAAUUAUCCAGCGGGGAAAGAAGACCCUGUAGAGCUUCACUUUGGUCUAAUCUUGUAUAGUUUCGUUAGGGGUGCAGUCUAGGUGGGAGAUUUUUAAUCAAAUAUGAGAAACCACUACCCUUUCUGGAAUUAUACUUACUAAAAUUCUUUUAUAAAUUUUAGGAUCGGAUUAGAUAGAAAGUUUGGCUGGGGCGGCACACCUUCGAAAAAGCAGCGAAGGUGUCCUAAGUUAAGCUCAGUAAGGACAGAAAUCUUACGUUGAGGAUAAGGCCAAAAGCUUAAUUUACUGUGCCUUUUUGUACUAGGAUCAGUUUGGAAACAAAGGCCUAACGAUCCCUAAUUAGUCUUAGGUGUGUAAGACUUGGGGUGACAGACAAGUUACCUCCGGGACAACUGGCUUGUGGCUGCUA